rnacentral:rRNA from 1 species
AGUCGAGGGGCAGCAUUUCAGUUUGCUUGCAAACUGGAGAUGGCGACCGGCGCACGGGUGAGUAACACGUAUCCAACCUGCCGAUAACUCGGGGAUAGCCUUUCGAAAGAAAGAUUAAUACCCGAUGGUAUAAUCAGACCGCAUGGUCUUGUUAUUAAAGAAUUUCGGUUAUCGAUGGGGAUGCGUUCCAUUAGGCAGUUGGUGAGGUAACGGCUCACCAAACCUUCGAUGGAUAGGGGUUCUGAGAGGAAGGUCCCCCACAUUGGAACUGAGACACGGUCCAAACUCCUACGGGAGGCAGCAGUGAGGAAUAUUGGUCAAUGGGCGCAGGCCUGAACCAGCCAAGUAGCGUGAAGGAUGACUGCCCUAUGGGUUGUAAACUUCUUUUAUAUGGGAAUAAAGUUUUCCACGUGUGGAAUUUUGUAUGUACCAUAUGAAUAAGGAUCGGCUAACUCCGUGCCAGCAGCCGCGGUAAUACGGAGGAUCCGAGCGUUAUCCGGAUUUAUUGGGUUUAAAGGGAGCGUAGGUGGACAGUUAAGUCAGUUGUGAAAGUUUGCGGCUCAACCGUAAAAUUGCAGUUGAUACUGGCUGUCUUGAGUACAGUAGAGGUGGGCGGAAUUCGUGGUGUAGCGGUGAAAUGCUUAGAUAUCACGAAGAACUCCGAUUGCGAAGGCAGCUCACUGGACUGCAACUGACACUGAUGCUCGAAAGUGUGGGUAUCAAACAGGAUUAGAUACCCUGGUAGUCCACACAGUAAACGAUGAAUACUCGCUGUUUGCGAUAUACAGUAAGCGGCCAAGCGAAAGCAUUAAGUAUUCCACCUGGGGAGUACGCCGGCAACGGUGAAACUCAAAGGAAUUGACGGGGGCCCGCACAAGCGGAGGAACAUGUGGUUUAAUUCGAUGAUACGCGAGGAACCUUACCCGGGCUUAAAUUGCAUUUGAAUAUAUGGGAAACAGGAUAGCCGAAAGGCAAAUGUGAAGGUGCUGCAUGGUUGUCGUCAGCUCGUGCCGUGAGGUGUCGGCUUAAGUGCCAUAACGAGCGCAACCCUUAUCUUUAGUUACUAACAGGUCAUGCUGAGGACUCUAGAGAGACUGCCGUCGUAAGAUGUGAGGAAGGUGGGGAUGACGUCAAAUCAGCACGGCCCUUACGUCCGGGGCUACACACGUGUUACAAUGGGGGGUACAGAAGGCAGCUACCUGGUGACAGGAUGCUAAUCCCAAAAGCCUCUCUCAGUUCGGAUCGAAGUCUGCAACCCGACUUCGUGAAGCUGGAUUCGCUAGUAAUCGCGCAUCAGCCAUGGCGCGGUGAAUACGUUCCCGGGCCUUGUACACACCGCCCGUCAAGCCAUGAAAGCCGGGGGUACCUGAAGUACGAACCGCAAGGAGCUCCUAGG